CUAGCAUAUCAAUAAGCGGAGGAAAAGAAACCAACAGGGAUUGCCAUAGUAACGGCGAGUGAAGCGGCAUCAGCUCAAAUUUGAAAUCUGGCUCUUUCAGGGUCCGAGUUGUAAUUUGCAGAGGGAGCUUUCGAGUUGGCAGCGGUCUAAGUUCCUUGGAACAGGACGUCACAGAGGGUGAGAAUCCCGUACGUGGUCGCAGGCCUUCUCGAGGUAAAGCCCCUUCGACGAGUCGAGUUGUUUGGGAAUGCAGCUCUAAAUGGGAGGUAAAUUUCUUCUAAAGCUAAAUACUGGCCAGAGACCGAUAGCGCACAAGUAGAGUGAUCGAAAGAUGAAAAGCACUUUGGAAAGAGAGUCAAAUAGCACGUGAAAUUGUUGAAAGGGAAGCGCUUGCAGCCAGACUUGCCUGUAGUUGCUCAUCCGGGCUUUUGCCCGGUGCACUCUUCUGUAGGCAGGCCAGCAUCAGUUUGGGCGGUUGGAUAAAGGUCUCUGUCACGUACCUCCUCUCGGGGAGGCCUUAUAGGGGAGACGACAUGCAACCAGCCUGGACUGAGGUCCGCGCAUCUGCUAGGAUGCUGGCGUAAUGGCUGUAAGCGGCCCGUCUUGAAACACGGACCAAGGAGUCUAACAUCUAUGCGAGUGUUUGGGUGUCAAGCCCGAGCGCGCAAUGAAAGUGAACGGAGGUGGGAUCCCUUAAGGGUGCACCAUCGACCGAUCCUGAAGUCUUCGGAUGGAUUUGAGUAAGAGCAUGGCUGUUGGGACCCGAAAGAUGGUGAACUAUGCUUGAAUAGGGUGAAGCCAGAGGAAACUCUGGUGGAGGCUCGCAGCGGUUCUGACGUGCAAAUCGAUCGUCAAAUUUGGGCAUAGGGGCGAAAGACUAAUCGAACUAUCUAGUAGCUGGUUCCUGCGAGCCCCUUCCCGCCACGAGGGGGAAAGCCGAAGACGGGGCGUGGUGGUGUGAGUCGUUGUAGUGUCUGGGGUGGC
rnacentral:rRNA from 1 species